CCUACGGGCGGCUGCAGUGAGGAAUAUUGGUCAAUGGGCGCUAGCCUGAACCAGCCAAGUAGCGUGAAGGAUGACUGCCCUAUGGGUUGUAAACUUCUUUUAUAUGGGAAUAAAGUGCAGUAUGUAUACUGCUUUGCAUGUACCUUAUGAAUAAGGAUCGGCUAACUCCGUGCCAGCAGCCGCGGUAAGACGGAGGAUCCGAGCGUUAUCCGGAUUUAUUGGGUUUAAAGGGAGCGUUGGCGGGUUGUUAAGUCAGUUGUGAAAGUUUGCGGCUCAACCGUAAAAUUGCAGUUGAAACUGGCAGCCUUGAGUACAGUAGAGGUAUGCGGAAUUCGUGGUGUAGCGGUGAAAUGCUUAGAUAUCACGAAGAACUCCGAUUGCGAAGGCAGCCUGCUGGACUGUAACUGACGCUGAUGCUCGAAAGUGUGGGUAUCAAACAGGAUUAGAUACCCCUGUAGUC
rnacentral:rRNA from 1 species